UACGAAGGGGGCUAGCGUUGUUCGGAAUUACUGGGCGUAAAGCGCACGUAGGCGGAUUGUUAAGUCGGGGGUGAAAUCCUGAGGCUCAACCUCAGAACUGCCUUCGAUACUGGCAAUCUCGAGUCCGGAAGAGGUUGGUGGAACAGCUAGUGUAGAGGUGAAAUUCGUAGAUAUUAGCUAGAACACCAGUGGCGAAGGCGGCCAACUGGUCCGGGUACUGACGCUGAGGUGCGAAAGCGUGGGGAGCGAACAGG
rnacentral:rRNA from 1 species